GGAAAGUUUGUGUUGUGUUUUGUUGUUUUUGAGCAACCGCUUUGGGAUCUGGCUACAAAACAUAACUUGAGCAUCCACACUGAGUUCUGAGAAGAAGAUGGCACCGAUCACCACCUACUUCCUCAUGCUCAUCUCCUCUGUCUUCUACGUCUUCUCCGACGCUCGUCUCGCCCUCGAAGAACUCACUGCUCAACAUCAUCUUCUCUUUCCAUACUCUUCACUGAGUUUCACCGUCAACCACCAUGAAUAUCCAAUCCUUCUCUGAAUCAUACUACGUCUCUCUCUUCUCACUUUUUCACCUUUUCUUACUUCUGCAACUCUGCUGUUUUACAAAUUUGUCUGGUUGGAAGAGAAAUAAAAACUGGUAAGUUUGAUAUGUAACAUGAUUAGGAAAAUGGAGCCAUAUAGAGGUAGAAAUGUCUGUGUUUGUAAGAUCUUUUUAUUUUCUUAGUAAAUUACACUCCACUCUUCUGGAGUUCAAUCAAA